CAGAUUCAAAAUCAUAUCAUUGACAAUUUCUGGACAAGGUGGAAACGUGAAUACCUUACAUCACUUAGAGAACAACAUCGAACUAAAGGAGUGGACAAACAGAACAUUAAUAUUGGAGAGGUAGUUCUAAUACAUGAUGAAACUUCAAGAACAACUUGGAAUGUAGGGAUCAUCGACAAAUUGAUUCAAGGACGAGAUGGGUUUAGCAGAUCAGCUAUUUUACGGACUAAAAAUGGUCAAACGUCUAGACCUAUUAGCAAGUUAUAUCCUCUAGAACUAACAUCUAAUGAAUACACAGGACCGUGUGAUGAAAUACUACCCGCCAGACGAGCGAAGACCGAUGCAAAGGAAAAGAUAAAGAUGUGGACCA
rnacentral:lncRNA from 1 species